AUUGAACGCUGGCGGCAUGCUUUACACAUGCAAGUCGAACGGUAACAGGCCGCAAGGUGCUGACGAGUGGCGAACGGGUGAGUAAUGCAUCGGAACGUGCCCAGUCGUGGGGGAUAACGCAGCGAAAGCUGCGCUAAUACCGCAUACGAUCUAUGGAUGAAAGCGGGGGACCGUGAGGCCUCGCGCGAUUGGAGAGGCCGAUGUCAGAUUAGGUAGUUGGUGGGGUAAAGGCUCACCAAGCCAACGAUCUGUAGCUGGUCUGAGAGGACGACCAGCCACACUGGGACUGAGACACGGCCCAGACUCCUACGGGAGGCAGCAGUGGGGAAUUUUGGACAAUGGGCGGAAGCCUGAUCCAGCAAUGCCGCGUGCAGGAAGAAGGCCUUCGGGUUGUAAACUGCUUUUGUACGGAACGAAACGGCUCUCACUAAUACUGGGGGCUAAUGACGGUACCGUAAGAAUAAGCACCGGCUAACUACGUGCCAGCCGCCGCCGUAACAC
rnacentral:rRNA from 1 species